AUUGAACGCUGGCGGCAUGCCUUACACAUGCAAGUCGAACGGCAGCACGGGAGCAAUCCUGGUGGCGAGUGGCGAACGGGUGAGUAAUAUAUCGGAACGUGCCCGGUCGUGGGGAUAACGUAGCGAAAGCUACGCUAAUACCGCAUACGAUCUACGGAUGAAAGCGGGGGAUCGCAAGACCUCGCGCGAUUGGAGCGGCCGAUAUCAGAUUAGGUAGUUGGUGAGGUAAAGGCUCACCAAGCCGACGAUCUGUAGCUGGUCUGAGAGGACGACCAGCCACACUGGGACUGAGACACGGCCCAGACUCCUACGGGAGGCAGCAGUGGGGGAAUUUUGGACAAUGGGCGCAAGCCUGAUCCAGCAAUGCCGCGUGCAGGAUGAAGGCC
rnacentral:rRNA from 1 species